rnacentral:misc_RNA from 1 species
GAUGAAGAACGCAGUGAAAUGCGAUAAGUAAUGUGAAUUGCAGAAUUCAGUGAAUCAUCGAAUCUUUGAACGCACAUUGCGCCCGCCAGUAUUCUGGCGGGCAUGCCUGUUCGAGCGUCAUUACAACCCUCAGGCCCCCGGGCCUGGCGUUGGGGAUCGGCGGAAGCCCCCUGCGGGCACAACGCCGUCCCCCAAAUACAGUGGCGGUCCCGCCGCAGCUUCCAUUGCGUAGUAGCUAACACCUCGCAACGGGAGAGCGGCGCGGCCACGCCGUAAAACACCCAACUUCUGAAUGUUGACCUCGAAUCAGGUAGGAAUACCCGCUGAACUUAAGCAUAUCAAUAAGCGGAGGA